rnacentral:rRNA from 1 species
GUGAGGAAUAUUGCGCAAUGGGGGCAACCCUGACGCAGCAACGCCGCGUGAGUGAGGAAGGUUUUCGGACCGUAAAGCUCUGUCGAGCGGGAAGAAAUGCAUGGUGGCUAAUAUCCAUCAUGCUUGACGGUACCGCUAAAGGAAGCACCGGCUAACUCCGUGCCAGCAGCCGCGGUAAUACGGGGGGUGCGAGCGUUGUUCGGAAUUAUUGGGCGUAAAGAGCGUGUAGGCGGCCGAAUAAGUCAGAGGUGAAAUCCCUGGGCUUAACCCAGGACGUGCAUUUGAAACUAUUCGGCUAGAGUAGGGGAGAGGAAAGUGGAAUUCCUGGUGUAGAGGUGAAAUUCGUAGAUAUCAGGAGGAACACCGGUGGCGAAGGCGACUUUCUGGCCCUAUACUGACGCUGAGACGCGAGAGCGUGGGUAGCAAACAGGAUUAGAAACCCUUGUAGUCC